GGCGGCUAUUGAACGUAUUUCUGUGGCACUGUAACCCAGUAGAUCACACCCAUGCAAUUGCUUUCUCUUCCUUAGGCCCAGGUCACUUCACCUGCACCUCUUUAAAGACUGUAUUUCCUUUCUGUGUCCCUCCCUCCCUCUCUCCCUUUCUUCCUUCCUUCCAUGUAUCUAAGAGAUUGGCCUGGGCCUCCGGUACCCAGGUGCUCUGCCUUGUGACUCCAUCUUAUGUGAAAACUGUGCCAGGUGCUAGAAAACAGUUUGCAAAUUAUAUUUUGGUUUGGAGACCUUGAGGAUGCAUUUACUGAAUUUUUUGACUGGUAUUUACAUGAUCAUCUCAAAGAAUGAAUUGCAGUUUUUUCACAGUGGAGGUACUGAUAAUUCACCCCUUGAAAUGAGGCCGUGUGGGCGUAGGCCCAUCGCUCUGUCUCCCUGGGCCUCAAUCUUCUCACCCUUGCAUUGGGAAUGAUACUAAAGUUCCUCAUCCACCUGCCUCAUGGGAUUGCUCAGAGGAUAGUGUGAGACAAUCUACCACAAAGUACAACUGUGAGCCACUUCCUAACUCCUGCUUUCCCACCUAUUCUUUUUUUUUUUUUUUUUUUUUUGAGACAGAAUCUCACUCUGUCGCCCUGGCUGUGAUCUGGCUCACUGCAACCUCUGCCUCUCGGGUUCAAGUGAUUCUCCUGCCUCAGCCUCCUGAGUAGUUGGGAUUAUAGGUGCCUGCCACCACGCCCAGAUAAUUUUUGUAUUUUU
rnacentral:lncRNA from 1 species